UGCUCACCAUAGAAAGGAGAAAGUGCUA
rnacentral:piRNA from 1 species